UACGUAAAAGACUAGUGUUAUUCAUCUUUAGUAGGUUUAAAGGGUACCUAGACGGUAUAAUUAGUCUUAAACAAGAAACGGUUAUGCUAGAGUUAUAUAUGAGAAGGGGAGUAUUUAUGGAGUAGAGUUGAAAUUCUUUGAUCCCAUAACGACUGGUAGCGGCGAAAGCAACCUUUUAUCUAAUAACUGACGUUGAGGGACGAAGGCUCGGGUCACGAAACAGG
rnacentral:rRNA from 1 species